CCUACUCUAGGGAGUGGAAGGUCAGGUCUCAUGUGAAAAGGAAGGUAAUCUGGACCAGUCAUAAAAUGUUAUGCUGAAAGCCUUAGGAUAAGUAGAUCACUCCUAAUACCUCUUUUCCUCUCCUAAUCUCUCUUGCAGUAACCUUAGCCAGUACUUGUCUGAGUUACUGAGUUUUAAGCCAGAUGUUAAUUCUACAUUUAGAGUAAAUGUUAUCUGAGAAGAAAUUCUUGCAGCUAGCAGCCAUGAGCUUGUGGGAGGAAACGGAGCUGGUGUUUACUGUCUGUUUUCUUUUUCCUUGCUUGAAGACAAAGGACAGAAAGUGCUACCAUCACUCAUAAGUAACGCUGCAUUUCAGAAAUAUCCUGUGGAAAUCUUAUCAUCAUCCAGACCAACAAUACUGCAGCCCAAGAAGAAGUGGUACUGAUGUGAUGUGGUGGUACAGAAUUGGAACACAAGGAAGAUAGAUGAGCAAGAUCAGUUUACUGCAUUUCUCCAGUCCCUCCCAAAGACCCAUAACAUACGCCAUCAGAAGGAUAAGAGAUGCCUUUAGAGAAAACAAGAACAUUGCGGAUUCUGAAAAAAUAGAAGAACUACUGAAUAAAGCCAAAGCAAACCUCCAGAUUAUUCAACGGCAGGCAGAACUUCCCUAAAUGGAGCAAGGGGUCUCAUACAAAGACAGAACAUAGCAGAAAAUCCUGCAUAGAUUGCAGUACAAUUUUGGAGAAAUAAUCUGGUAUAUUUCAUUCUUGCUGUAAUUAAAGGGUCUUUCAGAGCAAUGAUUAAUGUGGAAUCCAGAGGUUCACUGUGGGAGCUGUUUCUUUCACAUUUAUACAGACAAGAUUGAUUGGAACUAAACUGUAUUUAUAUGACAGAAAGUCUAAAAAUACAAAAUGUG
rnacentral:lncRNA from 1 species